AUACUUACUGGGUAGAGGAGCUAUCAUGAUCACGAAAGUGGUUUUCCCAGGGCGAGGUUUAAUCCGUUGUACUCCGGAUGUGCUGAUCUCUGUGAUUUCCCCAAGUGUGGGAAACUUGACUGCAUAAUUUGUGAUAGUGGGGGACUGCGUUCGCUCUUUCCCGUG
ensembl:snRNA U1 U1 spliceosomal RNA